GAUGAACGCUAGCGGCAGGCUUAACACAUGCAAGUCGAGGGGUAACAGGAAUAGCUUGCUAUUUGCUGACGACCGGCGCACGGGUGCGUAACGCGUAUGCAACCUACCUUUUACUGGGGAAUAGCCAGAAGAAAUUCUGAUUAAUACCCCAUAAUAUUAUAGUAUAGCAUUUUAUUAUAAUUAAAGUUUCGACGGUAAAAGAUGGGCAUGCGUUUUAUUAGUUAGUUGGUAAGGUAACGGCUCACCAAGACUACGAUAAAUAGGGGUCCUGAGAGGGAGAUCCCCCACACUGGUACUGAGACACGGACCAGACUCCUACGGGAGGCAGCAGUGAGGAAUAUUGGACAAUGGGCGAGAGCCUGAUCCAGCCAUGCCGCGUGCAGGAAGAAGGUCCUAUGGAUUGUAAACUGCUUUUAUACAGGAAGAAACCCCAGUACGUGUACUGGGCUGACGGUACUGUAAGAAUAAGCACCGGCUAACUCCGUGCCAGCAGCCGCGGUAAUACGGAGGGUGCAAGCGUUAUCCGGAAUCAUUGGGUUUAAAGGGUCCGUAGGCGGAUUAUUAAGUCAGAGGUGAAAUCCCACAGCUUAACUGUGGAACUGCCUUUGAUACUGGUAGUCUUGAGUUAUAUGGAAGUAGAUAGAAUGUGUAGUGUAGCGGUGAAAUGCAUAGAUAUUACACGGAAUACCGAUUGCGAAGGCAGUCUCCUACGUAUAUACUGACGCUUAUGG
rnacentral:rRNA from 1 species